rnacentral:sRNA from 1 species
AUGUACCCACGUGCACUCCGGUUCCUCCGCGCCGUCCGCACCCACCUGACGACUGCUCGCUACGUUUUGUUAGCC